rnacentral:snRNA from 1 species
UUAUCCUCUCAGGCCUUUUGUCCGAAAUCAAGUAUAGCUUUGUUCUUUAUAGUUUAGCAACUAUAAUGAGGGGCUUUGUCCCUCUUGUUGUUAACAGGAAACCAAGGCUCUGGUUUUCUAUCUUUGACUUCCACAUGUGUCCCUUAUUUUACACUAUCAGCAAGGUGACACCGAUCACCU